rnacentral:rRNA from 1 species
CCUACGGGAGGCAGCAGUGGGGAAUUUUGCGCAAUGGGCGAAAGCCUGACGCAGCAACGCUGCGUGAGUGAUGAAGGCUUUCGGGUCGUAAAGCUCUGUCAAGGGGAAAGAAAUGUACGGAGGUUAAUACCCUUUGUACUUGACGGUACCCCUAAAGGAAGCACCGGCUAACUCCGUGCCAGCAGCCGCGGUAAU